GGUCAAGUGAAUAAGUGCAUCAGGCGGAUGCCUUGGCGAUGAUAGGCGACGAAGGACGUGUAAGCCUGCGAAAAGCGCGGGGGAGCUGGCAAUAAAGCUAUGAUUCCGCGAUGUCCGAAUGGGGAAACCCACUGCAUUCUGUGCAGUAUCCUAAGUUGAAUACAUAGGCUUAGAGAAGCGAACCCGGAGAACUGAACCAUCUAAGUACCCGGAGGAAAAGAAAUCAACCGAGAUUCCGCAAGUAGUGGCGAGCGAACGCGGAGGAGCCUGUACGUAAUAACUGUCGAGAUAGAAGAACAAGCUGGGAAGCUUGACCAUAGCGGGUGACAGUCCCGUAUUCGAAAUCUCAACAGCGGUACUAAGCGUACGAAAAGUAGGGCGGGACACGUGAAAUCCUGUCUGAAUAUGGGGGGACCAUCCUCCAAGGCUAAAUACUCAUCAUCGACCGAUAGUGAACCAGUACCGUGAGGGAAAGGCGAAAAGAACCCCGGGAGGGGAGUGAAACAGAACCUGAAACCUGAUGCAUACAAACAGUGGGAGCGCCCUAGUGGUGUGACUGCGUACCUUUUGUAUAAUGGGUCAACGACUUACAUUCAGUAGCGAGCUUAACCGGAUAGGGGAGGCGUAGGGAAACCGAGUCUUAAUAGGGCGAUGAGUUGCUGGGUGUAGACCCGAAACCGAGUGAUCUAUCCAUGGUCAGGUUGAAGGUGCCGUAACAGGUACUGGAGGACCGAACCCACGCAUGUUGCAAAAUGCGGGGAUGAGCUGUGGGUAGGGGUGAAAGGCUAAACAAACUCGGAGAUAGCUGGUUCUCCCCGAAAACUAUUUAGGUAGUGCCUCGAGCAAGACACUGAUGGGGGUAAAGCACUGUUAUGGCUAGGGGGUUAUUGCAACUUACCAACCCAUGGCAAACUCAGAAUACCAUCAAGUGGUUCCUCGGGAGACAGACAGCGGGUGCUAACGUCCGUUGUCAAGAGGGAAACAACCCAGACCGCCGGCUAAGGUCCCAAAUGAUAGAUUAAGUGGUAAACGAAGUGGGAAGGCACAGACAGCCAGGAUGUUGGCUUAGAAGCAGCCAUCAUUUAAAGAAAGCGUAAUAGCUCACUGGUCGAGUCGUCCUGCGCGGAAGAUGUAACGGGGCUCAAAUCUAUAACCGAAGCUGCGGAUGCCGGUUUACCGGCAUGGUAGGGGAGCGUUCUGUAGGCUGAUGAAGGUGCAUUGUAAAGUGUGCUGGAGGUAUCAGAAGUGCGAAUGUUGACAUGAGUAGCGAUAAAGCGGGUGAAAAGCCCGCUCGCCGAAAGCCCAAGGUUUCCUACGCAACGUUCAUCGGCGUAGGGUAAGUCGGCCCCUAAGGCGAGGCAGAAAUGCGUAGUCGAUGGGAAACAGGUUAAUAUUCCUGUACUUGAUUCAAAUGCGAUGUGGGGACGGAGAAGGUUAGGUUGGCAAGCUGUUGGAAUAGCUUGUUUAAGCCGGUAGGUGGAAGACUUAGGCAAAUCCGGGUUUUCUUAACACCGAGAAGUGAUGACGAGUGUCUACGGACACGAAGCAACCGAUACCACGCUUCCAGGAAAAGCCACUAAGCUUCAGUUUGAAUCGAACCGUACCGCAAACCGACACAGGUGGGUAGGAUGAGAAUUCUAAGGCGCUUGAGAGAACUCGGGAGAAGGAACUCGGCAAAUUGAUACCGUAACUUCGGGAGAAGGUAUGCCCUCUAAGGUUAAGGACUUGCUCCGUAAGCCCCGGAGGGUCGCAGAGAAUAGGUGGCUGCGACUGUUUAUUAAAAACACAGCACUCUGCCAACACGAAAGUGGACGUAUAGGGUGUGACGCCUGCCCGGUGCCGGAAGGUUAAUUGAAGAUGUGCAAGCAUCGGAUCGAAGCCCCGGUAAACGGCGGCCGUAACUAUAACGGUCCUAAGGUAGCGAAAUUCCUUGUCGGGUAAGUUCCGACCCGCACGAAUGGCGUAACGAUGGCCACACUGUCUCCUCCCGAGACUCAGCGAAGUUGAAGUGGUUGUGAAGAUGCAAUCUACCCGCUGCUAGACGGAAAGACCCCGUGAACCUUUACUGUAGCUUUGCAUUGGACUUUGAAGUCACUUGUGUAGGAUAGGUGGGAGGCUUGGAAGCAGAGACGCCAGUCUCUGUGGAGUCGUCCUUGAAAUACCACCCUGGUGUCUUUGAGGUUCUAACCCAGACCCGUCAUCCGGGUCGGGGACCGUGCAUGGUAGGCAGUUUGACUGGGGCGGUCUCCUCCCAAAGCGUAACGGAGGAGUUCGAAGGUUACCUAGGUCCGGUCGGAAAUCGGACUGAUAGUGCAAUGGCAAAAGGUAGCUUAACUGCGAGACCGACAAGUCGGGCAGGUGCGAAAGCAGGACAUAGUGAUCCGGUGGUUCUGUAUGGAAGGGCCAUCGCUCAACGGAUAAAAGGUACUCCGGGGAUAACAGGCUGAUUCCGCCCAAGAGUUCAUAUCGACGGCGGAGUUUGGCACCUCGAUGUCGGCUCAUCACAUCCUGGGGCUGUAGUCGGUCCCAAGGGUAUGGCUGUUCGCCAUUUAAAGUGGUACGUGAGCUGGGUUUAAAACGUCGUGAGACAGUUUGGUCCCUAUCUGCAGUGGGCGUUGGAAGUUUGACGGGGGCUGCUCCUAGUACGAGAGGACCGGAGUGGACGAACCUCUGGUGUACCGGUUGUAACGCCAGUUGCAUAGCCGGGUAGCUAAGUUCGGAAGAGAUAAGCGCUGAAAGCAUCUAAGCGCGAAACUCGCCUGAAGAUGAGACUUCCCUUGCGGUUUAACCGCACUAAAGGGUCGUUCGAGACCAGGACGUUGAUAGGUGGGGUGUGGAAGCGCGGUAACGCGUGAAGCUAACCCAUACUAAUUGCCCGUGAGGCUUGACUCU
rnacentral:rRNA from 1 species